UCUAUUUGUCACUUCCACCCUAUUACCGUGACUUAGAUCAUACCUGAAUGGUCUAGUAGUUUUCUGUAGUUUCUUCAGUUUACAUUUGAAUUUGGCAAUAAGGAGUUCAUGAUCUUAAGCGCUCUCUUAAGGUUACUACUUUCAGUCUUAUAUGCUAGUGUAGCAGCGGGGUCGUUCAUCAUGAAACUCGUUUUUUGUUUUUUUAAACAUAUAUGUGUCAUGUAUAUAUGUAAUGUGUGUGUGUGUGUGUGUGUGUGUGUGUGUGUGUGUGUGUGAAGUCGCUUCAGUGUUGUUUGACUGUGACCCUGUGGGUUGUAACCCGCCAGGUUUCUCUGUCCAUGGGGUUUUCCAGGCAAGAACGUUGGAAUGGGUUGCCAUGCUCUCUUCCAGGGGAUUUUCCUGAGCCAGGGAUCAACCACAUCUCUUACAUCUCCUUCAUAGGCAGGCGGGUUUGUGGUUUGUUACCACUAUCGCUGUUCAUUAAUGUUAAACCCCUUUUAUUCUCUGUUACUAUUCCUCAUCCUCUGGGGUCUGGAAGGAUUUUCAUGGCUGUACUUAAAAAAACUUGUAUCUGUACCUUUUCAAGAGAUUGUUGAACCUUCAAAAUUAAUCCUUUAAUCCUGUUUAUCGCAUAUCCCUUUUCUCACAUUUUCAUUUAUUUCAUCAAGGAUAUUUGCUUGAUUGUAUUUGCUUCUUCAAAGUUUUUGAUUACUUUUAUUUUACAUAAAUUUCCAUUUCCUCUAUUUUUAGGGUUAUUUUGAAGAUUAAAUGGCGUGAUCCAUGUACAUGGCCUGGAAGUACCGUAGAAGUAGUACUUAGAAAUACUAUUAAAGUACUAUAGAAAUAGUAGUUUCCUAAUGAACAAGGGAAACCACAUUUAAGUAAUUUUUUUAUUUUGUUAGGAGUUGAGGUACAUAAUCUUUCUUACUUACCUGACAGAUUUUUUGUUCUUUUUACUCAUGUCUGACUCUUUGGACCUUAAUGGCCAGCAGCCUGCCUCGGCUCCUCUGUGUUCUGCUCUCUCCCGGAGUUUGCUCAAAUUCGUGUCCAUUGAGUCAGUGAUACUCUCUGACCAUCUCAUCUUCUGCCUCCCUCUUCUCCUUUUGCUUACAAAAUUUACCAGCAUCAAGGUCUUUUCCGAUGAGUCGGCUCUUCCCAUUACGUGGCCAGAGAAUAGAACAGAAACUUCAGCUUCAUCAUCAGUCCUUCCAAUGAAUAUUUAAGGUUGAUUUCCUUUAGGAUUGACUGGUUUGGUCUCCUUGCAGUCCCAGGGACUCUCAAGAGUUAUCUCCAACACCACAGAUUGAAAGCCUGUAUUCCUCGGGCCUCAGCCUUCUUUAUGGUCUAACUCUCCCAUCCGUACAUGACUGCUGGAAAAAUCAUAGCUUUGACUUGGACAGUAUGAAAAGGAGGCCAGGUAGCCAGUGCUUAAAAGGCCCAAACUCCUUGGUGCUCUGGGAUAAACCCUGUGCCUUUCUUCACCACAGCCUGUGUCAGUAGAUUGGCUUUACUGCAUGUGGACCCAAGUUUGGUUUGGUACCAACAGUUUGAAAAUCAUUUAUGUGGUAUUUCUGAAAUAAGAGGAAUGUUGGAAAAUGCUGCCAUCCAUAAAAAGUGUGUGGCUGCCAUGGAUCCAACGGAGGUUGCCAGGUUAAAGUCAAGACUGGUUUUAGGAGGUAUUAUUUCUAUAAUCUGCUGUUACUAGAGACGUUUCUGUGUGGAGUCCUCAAAAUCUGAAAUCCACAAGGAGCCUGUGUUCUUCAUCAGGAGAAGGAGAAGCCUGCACACCGCAACGAAGAAUAGCCCCUGCUCAUUGCAACUACAGAAAGCCCCCGUGCUGCAGUGAAGACCUGCACAGUCAAAAAUGAAAUGAAUAAAUAAUUAAUAAAAAUAAAUAAAAUCUAUGUUGUGAUUAUACUUCUGGGGAGGGGUGGGGUGCCCAGUGUGGGGACCAGUGAAACAUACUGCAUUCAUCUCCCUGGCAGAUGAUGGUAGGGAUGAUAGAGAAAGACGAGCUCUGAAAGAGAUGUUAAGUGGCAGGGUUGACAGGACUUGGGGGUUGGUUUGUUGACGAAACUUCAAUUCAAUGUCAAGAAGAAACAAAAAUUUUAUUUUAACCAGUCUGAAGGUUAUAACUUGAGAAGCAGAUUCUCAGAAAGCAAUUAGAAGGUAAAGACACAAUUACAUACCUUCUUCAAAGAAUCGUACAUCAAAAUGACAUACUGAGGGCUUCUCUGGUGGUACAGUGUACAGCGUUGGCAGGAGACAUAGGUUCCAUCCCUGGUCCAGGAAGAUUCCUCAUGGCAAGGGCAACUAAAUCCUGUGUGCCACAACCAGUGAACUGCGCCACCCCCCCACCCCCACCCCACGCCGCAGAGUCCAUGCUCCGAAACAAGAGAGAAUGAAGAGUAGACCCCACUUACUACAUCUCAAGACCCUGAGCACAGCAACGAAUAACCUGGGCAACAAAAAAUAAAUUUAAUAAUGAUUUUUAAAAAGUAAAUAUUAAUAUUUUACAUUAAGUUCACCGAAGAACAGGUAGUCCAGGUGAACUGGAACAGGUACAAAGUAAGCAGUAAGUGACCAGCCUCUGCUAUAGAGUAGAGCAAGAAUACAAUUCUUUUAAGAAGUCUCAUUGCAAGUGUUAGAAGGAAAAAACAUGGUUUUUUGCAACCUCCACAGAGCAACUAAGCCCAAGUGCUCUAGAGCCCGAGCCUGCAUCAAGAAAGAGAAACCUAAAAACCUAAACACUGCAGCGAAGAGUAGCCCUGCUUGUUGAUGUGGUUUUCUCCACUUAAAUGCAACCUCCAAAGAGAGGCCUUCCCUGAGCACCCAAAUCUGAAGUGGCCGUCAAAUCCCUCUCUGGACUCUUAUCAUCCUCUGCAUGCCUCAUCAUCUCAUCCUCUGGGUAAUUGUCAUCUCUCUCCCCUACCAGGGUGUAAGCUUUUUGUGAGAGUAGGGACCUCUGUUUGCCCAGUACCUAGAGUAAUCUUUAGCACAUAGAAAGCCAAACCAGGAUGAUGGUUAAGGUGACACCUACCAGCUCUGCUAUUGACAGACCUCAGGCCAGUAACCGGAGGCCUUUCUGUGCCUUAGUUCCCCCAUCCAUAAAAAUGGGACGAUUGUACUUGUAUUGGUCUCAUAGUUAAAGCAGUUAAAAUGAUGAAUGGUGCUGGCAAACUCACAGUAAAUAGUAGCUGUAUUGUCAUAGUUGGCUCUCAGGUAUUUGUCGGGAGAAGAAAUGAUGUCAAAGGCAGCUGUCAGCUUUAUUUUAAAAAAUCAGAAAGUGUGAACAGGUAGUGUAAUCUUUCUGUGGCAAAAACCCCAGAGGUUCUGUUUUCCAGAGCUGGUUGUCAGCCACCCAGUCCCCCCGUCUCUGCCUCAGUCAUGGUGACCUCUUAUGAGAGUUUGAAAGUCUGACUUCUUGGAUAGGCUUGAAUGCAGCUGCUCGUGAGUUUGAGUGAACUCCGGGAGUUGGUGAUGGACAGGGAGGCCUGGCGUGCUGCGAUUCAUGGGGUCGCAAAGAGUUUGACACGACUGAGCAACUGAACUGAACUGAACUGACUUAAGGUUGAGUGAUCAGUGGAAUCAGCUAGGUUCUCAGAAGCAAAGGCAGAGACCCGCCCUUUCCUGUACAGCUUUCAGGGGCGGGGCGGCUUUAGUCCAUCUGUGCCGCGAAUGCCUUCUGGGCUUUAAAGACUGGGGUUGUGAUUGGCUGUCACUCUGUAUUAUGUAAAUUAAGUUUGAUUUUUUUAAAAUGUUAAAUUACAUUUUCAGUGAAAAUGUUCAAAUGAGUUGGUAAGUGACAGCAUUUGAAAGCUGUAUUGCAGGAGCUCUUUCUGUUUUUUUCCCAGUAGAAGAAAAAAUGGCCAAGUGGUGGGGAAACUGUGUUGCCCUCAGUGCAAAGUUCACAGCUAGCACAGACCCGGCAGCGGCCGGGGGCUGGAGGUUAAGACUAUACUUUCAGGGAUCAUUUCUAUAGUUUGUUACUAGAGAAGUUUCUCUGAAUGUGUGGAGCACCCGAAACCAUGAGGAGGAGAUGCAGUGUUCUCUCCUGAGCGUGAAGCUGGUCCUUGGUGUUGCUUUUGCAGCUGCCAUUGGCCGUUGAUGAUCAUUCUUCUCUUCCUUUGGGAGAGUUAGAAGGAGAGGAUACCAUCUGAGUGGUUUACCUUGCAAUUGACUUUUUCUUAAGAAAAGUGAGUUGUUAGUGGUGUGUUUUCUUCUGUCUUAGUUCUCUAACAGCUUUAUGUUUUAAUGAGGCUUAUAUUAUUGCAUCCCUUGUAAGAAUCUACCUGCAAUGCAGGAGACCCAGCUUUGAUCCUUUGGUAGGGAAAAGCCCCCA